ACGAACGCUGGCGGCGUGCUUAACACAUGCAAGUCGAACGAUGAAGCCAGCUUGCUGGUGGAUUAGUGGCGAACGGGUGAGUAACACGUGAGUAACCUGCCCUUGACUCUGGGAUAAGCGUUGGAAACGACGUCUAAUACCGGAUAUGACCGAUAGCCGCAUGGUUUGUUGGUGGAAAGAUUUUUUGGUCAAGGAUGGACUCGCGGCCUAUCAGGUUGUUGGUGAGGUAAUGGCUCACCAAGCCUACGACGGGUAGCCG
rnacentral:rRNA from 1 species